rnacentral:rRNA from 1 species
AUUGAACGCUGGCGGCAGGCCUAACACAUGCAAGUCGAACGAGUGGCGGACGGGUGAGUAAUGUCUGGGAAACUGCCUGAUGGAGGGGGAUAACUCCUGGAAACGGUAGCUAAUACCGCAUACCAUCAGAUGUGCCCCGAUGGGAUUGGCUUGUUGGUGGGGUAACGGCGAACAAAGGCGACGAUCCCUAGCUGGUCUGAGAGGAUGACAAGCCACAAUGGAACUGAGACACGGUCCAGACUCCUACGGGAGGCAGCAGUGGGGAAUAUUGCACAAGGGGCGCAAGCCUGAUGCAGCCAUGCGGCGUGGAUGAAGAAGGCCUUCGGGUUGUAAAGUACUGUCAGCGGGGAGGCGUUACCCGCAGAAGAAGCACCGGCUAACUCCGUGCCAGCAGCCGCGGUAAUAC